rnacentral:rRNA from 1 species
UAGGGAAUCUUCGGCAAUGGACGGAAGUCUGACCGAGCAACACCGCGUGAGUGAAGAAGGUUUUCGGAUCGUAAAGCUCUGUUGUUAGAGAAGAACGUUGGUAGGAGUGGAAAAUCUACCAAGUGACGGUAACUAACCAGAAAGGGACGGCUAACUACGUGCCAGCAGCCGCGGUAAUACGUAGGUCCCGAGCGUUGUCCGGAUUUAUUGGGCGUAAAGCGAGCGCAGGCGGUUCAUUAAGUCUGAAGUUAAAGGCAGUGGCUUAACCAUUGUACGCUUUGGAAACUGGAGGACUUGAGUGGAGAAGGGGAGAGUGGAAUUCCAUGUGUAGCGGUGAAAUGCGUAGAUAGAUGGAGGAACACCGGUGGCGAAAGCGGCUCUCUGGUCUGUAACUGACGCGGAGGCUCGAAAGCGUGGGGAGCAAACAGG